CAAACGACCCCCCCCCCCAUUGGUUCAUCUCCUCUCGAAACUCAAUCAGCUAAAGCCAUCGAGACCACAUAGCUCGUUGGAAACCCAGCAUAAACAGUGACGAGCUCGCCAGAAAACGAGUUGACACCACCACCAAAGCCUCGCCUGGACACUGCUGCUUCAUCUUUCGUCCAUCCUUUAAACCAUCGGACUUUUCUUGACUCAAAACCAGUCCAGCGUCCUGUCAUAAUGGGAAAUUAUCUGCGCUAGAGACCAUGUCAAGAUCUGUCGAUUUAAAGCUCGUUGCUUGAAGCUUCUACCAGAGGUUCCCGUUCAAGGUUGUCACGUCGAAGUCUCCGGUGCUGGUUCUGUCGCCGGGAGGGUAUGCGCCUUCGGUAAGUCCUUUUCCUUUGUGUCGUGCUCAGAAGUAUUAUCCUUUUGUUGAAUCUUUUGGCUUAUACUAUUGUUCGAAGUGCUUCGUUAUGGGUUUAUGAAAUUAUGCUCAAUUUUGCGUCAUUUGUAUUAUGUUACGUUCCAGUUGAGCCUUGUUUCUCAGUUAAGGCUAUGUUUGAAUGAAUUUUAAUUAUAUAGGAGCUAAUCAAAUUGAAAGUUCCUUUAAGCUUCCAAAUACGCGCUUCAUUAACUCAUGGAAUGCAUGGAAUUGGUUUUAAAAUUGUUAGAAGUUUCUUUUGGUUUUCUAUGUUAAAAAUGAGAGUGAUAUGGGAUCUGUUAGGCCAUUUUUAUUUACAGUAGCUUAACUUUGUCAUGGCUUUGGAUUCCUAAUGUAUGUUUCUAAAUAGAUUGGGUUCAAGAUGAUUAUUUGUAGAAAAGAAGUUAAACGUGACUAAUCAUAUCAUUGUAGUUGAGGACACGUUCGCGUGAUAUAGUUACGAUUUUUUAUGGUUGGUUUGAAAUAUGCUAUAUUAGCCAAAAGACAUAGUUUAUGCCCCUCAAAGUUGAGUUUUGAAUUUCCUUAAAAAUAGAUUGGAGCCCUACCAUGCCAAAUAAAACCCCUAAGCUCUUGUCCCUCAUUUAAUUAAUUUUGAAUCCUUAGAAAUCGAGGCGUGCCAUUUAGUUAAAUUUUCAUGGCCAUCACAAACUCGAAAGUGCGCAAUUGCUUUAGGCGCGUUAGUUUAAUAAUUUUAUCUCCUUAAACGCGGGUGCAUAUUUAUGUGACCCAAAUCCAAAUCCCAACGAAGUUGAAAUGUGUUAAAAACCACGGGUGCAUUUAUGUGACGUGGUUCAAGGCAUGUUUUAACGUCGUUGCCAUCCUCUCUUUUUUUUUUUAUAAAAAUAAUAAUAACAAUAAAAGUGGUUAAAAAGUUAAGAAGCACAUAAGUUAAAACAUGUAUAAAAUCGGAUAAUUUAAGCCAAAUAUAACAAUUGAGCGACCGUGCUAGAACCACGGAACCUGGGAAUGCUUAACACCUUCUCCAGGGUUAACAUAAUUCCUUACUCGGAUUUUUGGUUCGCGUACUGUUAAACAGAGUCAUUCUUUCCUCGAUUCGGGAUUCUAACCGGUGACUUGGGACACCAUAUAUCUCCCAAGUGGCGACUCUGAAACUCUCUUAAAAAAUUCAAUCCCGUUUCGAUUGUCCUUUAAUUGGAAAAACCCCCUUAUUUACGCCCUUCGCCGGGGUUGUAGUGCCAAAAAGGAGGUGUGAAAAUCAUAACCAUUUCAUCAUCUUCCAGAUCUGAACCUUCAGAAAUUAGCUAAGCUUCUCUCCUUCUUGGGUGUAUCCAUCUUCAUGGUUUGCCUUCUCAUUUCAUAAGCAGUAACAUUUCCAAUCAGUUCAUCUAGUCUGAGAGUAGAAAUGUUCUUGCAUUCCUGAAUGGCAGUGAUUUUGCUUUCCCAUGUGACUGACAACAACAUGGUUAGAAUUUUCUCAACCUUGUCUUCUUCAAGAAUGACCCAUCCAAGAGACUUAAGUUCAUUUGUCAGUGUCGUGAACUUAGUAUAAAUCUCUUGGAUAGGUUCUCCUUCCUUCAUAGUAAAAUUCUCAUAUUCAAAAUACAACGGUGUUCCUCUUGAUAUUUUCACUUGAGGUGUUCCUUUAUGGGCCACUUGCAAAGUCUACCAUAUCCCCUUAGUAGUAGUAGUACAACUUUGGAUCCCACUGUACUCAUCUGGACCUAGUCCACACACAAGUCAUUUCUCGGCCUUAGCAUUUUUCUCCCACUUUAUUAGGUCUUUAGCAGUGCAGUCAGCUCUUGUCUUUGGUAUUUCCACUCCUUCCUCAUUCUUCUUUGUAGUUGCCAAGGGUCCAUCAGUGACUAUGUCCCAGAGUUCAUAGUCUUCUCUAAUGAUAUGAUCUCUCAUCUUGUUUUUCCACCAAGAAUUGUACUCUCCAUUGAAAAGUGGAGGUCUAGCAAUGGAUUGCUCUUCCUAGUUCCCAUGUGGUGCACUCAUGUUGAUAUUUUCCUAAGGUUUUAGCCUGUUCAAGGAUAACCUGCUCUGAUACCGACUGAUGUUCCAAAUGUCAAUACCACACAAAAGGGGUGUGGGUGAUUUGUGUGACACCCAAUUUUCGAUCUAGAAGAACCUAGUUCUUCUAGGUUUUCUAACUACUACUAUUUGUGGAAUUAAAAGUACAAAAAAUAAAGAACACAGAGAUUUUUACGUGGAAAACACCUGGCUCAAAAGGUGAAAAAACCACGACCUACUACUUAGUAGGAUUUUUCCAAACUCCCACUAAAAUCAGUGAGCCAAAACAACAUUUACAAAAACUCUUUAUAAACCUAAAGAUUAACUCUAAUCCCAGUGUAGCACACAACCUCAACUGUUGCGACACCACCAAGUUAACUCUAACUUGAAUACUCAAAGUACCUAAUAAAAUUGCUUAUAUGAAAGCUGGAAAGGUACAACUUCAAACCACAUACUACAAUUGAACUAGAAUAAAACAAAGACACAAUGUAAUUAGUUCUUCUAUCUUGUCCAAGUAGCUUCAGGAAUGCACACUCAAAUAUCACAUAAAUUUCUUGAAAAAUUGUCUCACUUUUUGCUCUCAAUUUAGUUUCACUUCUGCAUUUGUGCAAUUCCUAUAAAACAGAACAAUCAUUGUUAUUUAAUGAGUUAGUAAUCAGAGUUUGAUUGAGAAUCAAUUGUUGAUCUUCCAUCAAAUUUGAGUCCUUGAAUAAUACAAACUCCAACCCUAUCCUUUAUCUGAAUUGUGUCCUCUUCCCGUAAGGAUACUUUAUCUCGUCAUCCAAUAUGCAACCUUUACUAUUAGUUUAGGAGAUAUUGCUGCUUGAUCACUCAGAUUUAUCUCCUUCACGCGCAUCUCACAUGUCUAGGUUGAUAAAUACUGUGCCUCAGAUGAUGGACCUAGUCCAUGACUGAGUUCAUUUGUCAUUAUUCAAAACUGCACCUGAACUUAGGCCAAUAGAAUAAAAUGGACCUAUAGUUGAGAAAAUAGUAAUUUUGACGUUCUUGAUUGAUUUCAUGAAUUUGAGGUUUAAUUCAUCGAUGUUGAUGUUAUUUUAAUAAUUUGAUCGCGCGAGCAAGUACGUAUGGUGUUUUUUAGGUUAGGGUGCAUGUUUGAUUUAGAGCCCGAAGGGCUCGGGUGAGUUUUGGAUAGGCCAUAGAGUGAAAGUGGACUUAGGAAAGUUGUUGGAGUAUUGUAGAUGUGUAGCAGGCCUCUGAUCUCGCAAAUGCGAGAUCAGGCAUUGCAAUUGCGAUGCAAGCAAGGAUCGAAAAUAUGAUACUUUUGUCGCAAAUGCAAAGAACCUCGGGCCAGCAUUGUCUCGAAAAUGCAAGGUAUACUUUGCAAAUGUGAAGCCUUUAGCACAUGCCCAGAAGUUUCAAAUGUGACGAUUCCUUCGUAAAUGUGAAGGAACAUGAGUCACAAAUGCAACAUAUACCUCAUAAUGCGAAGGUAGCGGGGUCCUUAAGGGUUUGUAAUUGCGAACCCUGGUCGCAUUUGCGAAUUCAGAGACCUGUUAAAUGAAUUUUAGAUGGGUUUGUAGCCAUUUAUACAACUUUCUGAAAAACCUAAACUAUAACGACCCGACCGGUCAUUUUGAGAUUUUGCACUUUGCUCGUCAAUUCUCGGGCAUGACUAGCCCCUAGUGAUGUAUUAUGACUUAUGUAAGUUGUUUGCUUUAGUUUUCAAGGUAAUCAUAAUGAAUUUGGAGGAAUAGUUGUUAGUUUGAUGCUUAAAAUUUGAAAGGUUUUUACCAAGCUUUGACUUGCUAGUAUAUGAUCUCGGAUUGAAAUUUUAUGAUUUGGUUAGAUUGUUGGGUGAUUUGGGAGUUGACAGGGUGAUCGAAAAUUCUUUUUAGGUCCAUGGAAUGUGUAGGCUUGAAUUGGCGAAAUUAGAAUUUUGACAUUUUUCGAUUGAUAGGAGAUAUUUUGAUAUAAGGGUCGGAAUGGAAUUCUGGAAGCCGUAGUAGGUCCAUCGUGUAACUUGGGAUGUGUGUGCUAAAUUUCAUGGCACUCAGACGUGGUUUGAUAGACUUUUGAUCAAAAGCAUAAUUCAAAAGAUUUUUGGAACCUUAGGCUUGAAUCCAAUGUGUUUUGGUUAAUUCGACAUUGUUUGAGGUGUUUUGAAGGUUGGUAUAAGUUUGAAUAGUAGUAUAUGACUUAUUUGUACUUUUGGUUGAGGUCUCGAGGGCCGGGGGUGAUUUCGUAUGGUUGACGGGAAGAUUUGAGUUGGGUUUUGGCAGCUAAAGAUUUUCCCAUUAUUGUCAUAACCGCACUUGCGGUUAGGGGACCGCAUGUGGUCUCAUAGAAGCGAAACUGGAGUCACAGAUGCAGCCAAGGAGAGUAUCAGCUGGAACUGCAGAAGAGGUUGAGGAAGCGCACAUGUGAUAGUGCAGGUGCGGGAUUUGCAUUGCAAAUACAACUCUUGGGUUUUAAGUGAUGACUGCAGAUGUGGUGUCUUGGACCGUAAAAGCGGCAGUGGGACCGCAGGUGCGAUACUCCUAGGUCAGAAGGUAUAAAAACUUUCCUUCGCGAUUUUGAGUUAUUCUUCACCAUUUUCAUACAGGUUUGAGCUUGAGGGAGCUAUUUAAAGAGGGAUUUCAUAGAGGUAAGGUUUUUGGACCCUAAAAUCGUUUCUUUGGUGUUAUUUCACUGAUUUGACUUGAACGUUUAAUGGAAAUUAAGGGUUAAAAUUGGGAAACUAGGGCUUGAUGUUGGAGAUCAUUGAGCAAGGGUUUGAGGGGUCAUUUGUGGUCAGAUUUUGGUACUUUUGAUGUGUAUGAACUUGUGGGGAGAUAAGGAGUCUAUUGAUGUAAAUUUUAUCGAACUUCGAGAUGUGGGCUCGGGGGUUGGGCUUGGUUAAUUUCAGAAUUUGCAUUGUAUUUUGAUUACUUUCGAAUGGGUUUUUCUCCCUUAGCAUAUUUUGAUGGUUAUGUACUAAUUUUGGUUAGAUUUGGAGCAUCCAGAGGCCUAUUCGAGAGGCAAAGCAUCGCGGGAUAGAAUUUGGACCUGAUAGAGGUAACUAAUGAUUGUAAAUGUUUUCCUGAGGGUAUGAAACCUCGAAUUUCACAUCAUUGUGCUACUUUGAGGUGACGUACACUAGAUUAUGAGAGUGGGGUCAUGCACCAUUGGGCAGUAUGACAUAGUCCAUCCCGUAUGACUGUUAAGUCGCGUAUUUACUAGAAAACUAUUUGAUAUCAUUGUUUGGAAAGUAUUAGCAUGUCUUGAGCUGAAUGCCAUAUUUGGGCAUCGUGCCAACUAUUUUUGGAACCUUAAGGGAUUUUUACUACUAUUCCACACUAUUUUGAAUUGAUAUUUGUACUUAGUCAUGUUGUAUUCUACUGUUUUUAUAACUCAGCCAUAAUUACUCUGUUUUGACAGCUUAAAUGAUGUUCCAGGCUGAGCAUCAUAUUUUACUGUGCCCGAGUAACUUUUAGAGAUUUCUGACUGAGUAGGACUGAGGGCCUGUGUUGUGAGGAUGCUUAUGAUUAUGAGGUCGAGGGCCUGAUUUGUACGCAACAUGGUGGAUUGAUAUGAGGCCGAGAGCCUGUUGAUUUUGCUACAAGAUGGCUUGAUAUUGUGCAUGGGCUAUAAAGGGCCUCUCUCGAAGUCUGUAUACGCCCAAUGAGCGCCUGUACCCAAUGUUAGUGAUAAGAUGUAGCCCGAUGGGCUGUUAUUGUUUCAUAUUGUUGCCCGAAGGGCUGUUCUUGAUCCAUGUUUUUCCCUUCUUAAUUUAUGUUAUACCCGAUGGGCUAAUUACAAGUGAUUGUGAGGUAGCCCAAGGGGCUGACUUUGUUGAUAUUAUGCUCGAGGCGCAGUUUAUGGUACAUUUUUUCCCCGAGGGGCUGUUUAUGUUUAUAUUAUUUUUACUCACUAUUUCAUCACUCGUUUAAAACUAUUGAAAGUUAUUUUAAAAGGUUUUACCGAAACUGAGCAUGAUUUACGAACCAAAUGAUUUCUGUAUUGUUUUGGAAAUGUACUACAUUUGUUGCAGUGUAUUGGCGUGGCUUACGUGUUUUCUUACUGCUCAACUUUCAUUUACUUUUAUUAUUUACUGAGUUGGCAUACUCACAUUACUCUCUUCACCUUAUUUUCAGAUUCAGGUAGUUCUGAACGGGGUAGCAGGUGUUGAUUGCUCAGUGGCAGAGUCAUUGAAGUUAGUAAGGUAGUUGUCCGACGUUCGCAGCACUGCUUUUCUCCCUCUUAUCUUCCUUAGACAUUAAUUAGUACUUUUUUGGACUCUUGGUUGUAUUCAGACCUUAGUAGAUGCUCGUGAAUUGUUAGCAUCACGGGCUUGUGUACUUAUUGAUAUGAUGUUCUCAUGGUUAUCCUAGGAUAGUAUGGUUUGUGGUAUGCUGUGUAGGUGUGAUAUUUGCAUGUGUAAGGUCACGAUUCAGUUCUAAAAAGGUCAUAAAAUUCUUAGGCAGUACGAGUAGCCUCAAAUGACUAGGGAAAUGAUAUUACCAGUUGGUGUAGCUUAAUGAGGGUAUGUACUGUUGAUACCCAAUUUUUCCCUAUGUAUUUUUAUAUGCAUAAAU
rnacentral:lncRNA from 1 species